GCAUAUCAAUAAGCGGAGGAAAAAGAAACCAACAGGGAUUGCCCUAGUAACGGCGAGUGAAGCGGCAACAGCUCAAAUUUGAAAUCUGGCUUCGGCCCGAGUUGUAAUUUGUAGAGGAAGCUUUAGGCGCGGCACCUUCUGAGUCCCCUGGAACGGGGCGCCAUAGAGGGUGAGAGCCCCGUAUAGUUGGAUGCCUAGCCUGUGUAAAGCUCCUUCGACGAGUCGAGUAGUUUGGGAAUGCUGCUCAAAAUGGGAGGUAAAUUUCUUCUAAAGCUAAAUACCGGCCAGAGACCGAUAGCGCACAAGUAGAGUGAUCGAAAGAUGAAAAGCACUUUGAAAAGAGGGUUAAAUAGCACGUGAAAUUGUUGAAAGGGAAGCGCUUGUGACCAGACUUGCGCCGGGCGGAUCAUCCGGUGUUCUCACCGGUGCACUCCGCCCGGCUCAGGCCAGCAUCGGUUCUCGCGGGGGGAUAAAGGUCCUGGGAACGUAGCUCCUCCGGGAGUGUUAUAGCCCAGGGCGUAAUGCCCUCGCGGGGACCGAGGUUCGCGCAUCUGCAAGGAUGCUGGCGUAAUGGUCAUCAGCGACCCGUCUUGAAACACGGACCAAGGAGUCAAGGUUUUGCGCGAGUGUUUGGGUGUAAAACCCGCACGCGUAAUGAAAGUGAACGUAGGUGAGAGCUUCGGCGCAUCAUCGACCGAUCCUGAUGUAUUCGGAUGGAUUUGAGUAAGAGCGUUAAGCCUUGGACCCGAAAGAUGGUGAACUAUGCUUGGAUAGGGUGAAGCCAGAGGAAACUCUGGUGGAGGCUCGCAGCGGUUCUGACGUGCAAAUCGAUCGUCAAAUCUGAGCAUGGGGGCGAAAGACUAAUCGAACCAUCUAGUAGCUGGUUUACCGCCGAAG
rnacentral:rRNA from 1 species